UGGGACUAAAGACCAGUGUAAUGUGCUUAUGAUAUCCAAUGGCAGUGAACGAAACUUGAGGUAGGAUGUAGUCAUACUGUGAUUUAGACAAUGUAGAAUCCAGGAGCACCACGUAAUUCUCUCCAUCUCGGAGCAGUGGAGGGAAAUGGAAGAAAAGGGAUUGGCCUAAGUUGACUGUAUGAAUUGGGUUGUCAAGAUUUUCACUUUUGUAGAGCUUCACACAUAAGGUGGACAGAUACUCAGAAGACGUAAUCACAUUUCCACUUAAAUCAAAUUGAUUAAUUUGCCGAAACGCUAUAAUAUUAACGUCAUCAAUGUCGCUGUUCCCAACCUCAAUUGCCCGGUGCUGUGGUAAAGCUCUUUCAAUAUGAUCAUUGCCUUCAGCUUUGAGUUGUACGUGAUACACACAACCUGGCAGAAGGCCACGCAGCCGGAACUUGCCCUCUUCAUCAGUUACUGUAUCUUCUCCAUAGAUGCUACACCCUUCCUGCCCCACAGCUUCUACUGAGACUCCUUGCUCAGGCUCUCCAUUUAAUGAAGAAACAGUGCCGUAACAGCUGUAAGCUGUUCUGUAACCAGUUAUCCGAAUUUUAAGAUUCUGUCCUUCCUGCACUUCAAUCAUUUGAGAAGACGGUUCAAAGCGAAAUUCUUUCAUCAUGGGUUUAAAAUAAUACUGCCCCGGACUCAGAUUGGAAAAGGUCAGCAUGCCAUUAUCCUGCGUAAGGAGGUUGGACCGGAACACCCCUCCACUGAGAGACAAGAGUACUCCAGCAAGAGCCUGGUCAUCCUCGGAUUUAAUCUCAAAUGUCACACCAGCAAGAGCAAAAGCUUUGAAGUCACCAAUCGUUCCUUCUACUGCAGUCAAAACAAAUCCUUCUUUCUGUGCAGUAACUGUAUAUUCCAAGUCACUGUGGAGUGGCCCAACACUGUAAGCACCUUUGUCAUCAGUGAAAACUGUGAUGAGAGGGGAAGGUGCUCCCUUUUCACCAAUGACAAUCUCAACACCUUCCAAUUCAGGAUGAAUCUGUCCUUCCAUAAAUAAGCCUGCUUUUCCAUGAAUCUCUAUCAGCUUUCCAGGACAGCUCUCUCCACUAACAACUGUUUCCACAUAAGGUGGGUAGAAAAGAAGCUCUUUUGAAGAUGGUGUCACAGUAAUUUUCUCACCAGACCUUGCCCAGUAUGAAAAUUCAUAUAAAAAUGGUCCUUGAAGUUCCUCCACCAUCUCCUGCACUGGUGGCUUUGUUCCCUCCUCUUCUUGGCCCUUCUUUUCUCUCUCCUGUCGGCGGGUCUCAAUUUCUGCCAGCUGCUGCUCCCUGCGUAACUCCUGCACAGAUUUCAAUGGCCCUAAAACUAAGGCAGGUUCACUGUCAAUAGAUGACUUAAUGGUAAUAGUCACAUCCAUCAGUUUAUCUGUUACAAUCGUGCCAAGGACAUGGUGUCGAACAGCAGUGAGCGUCAGUAUACUAGGAGAGGACGUGUCGUAAGUGUAAUACUCGUGUUCAAACUGGUGGCAGGAACGUGGGGUUACUUCGUACACACCUGGCUUUGAAAGACAGAAUCUAUUAACUCCUUUAGAUAAGUUAUAAACACCAACGUUCUCUGGUCCAUUUCCAUCCUGGUAAAAUUCCAGUGUAAUUGCAUGAGAAAGGGAACACCUCAGCAUAUAUCCAGUCUGCCUGAAUUCUACUCCUGAAACAUCUUCCUCCAUGAUUUCCACCUCCAGAGAUUUAUUCUUCCAGCACCAGUCUUCAUGUACAAUGCUUACUUUGUAUUUGCCAGGUAGCACAUUUUCAAACAUGAAGGCUACUGAGUCUGUGCUUCCAGAGAGCUGGAGGUUACGUUUUUCACCCUGGCGGCUCACAGACUGUAACAUCACCACCAGAUCACCGCAAGCAUCUAAACAAGAGAUCUUCC
rnacentral:lncRNA from 1 species